GGGUGCGCGGGCCGGUGGGUGAGGCAUCGCAUUGCAAAUGCGACUUGAGCGGGUUCGACUCCCGCGCGCUCCCU
rnacentral:tRNA from 1 species